rnacentral:pre_miRNA from 1 species
UAAGUACUCCCUCUGUCUGAAAAUACUUGUCAUCAAAAUGGAUUAAAAAAAUGUAUCUAGAACUAAAAUAUGUCUAGAUACAUCCCCUUUUAUCCAUUUUGAUGACAAGUAUUUCCGGACGGAGGGAGUACUAC